rnacentral:rRNA from 1 species
UACGUAGGGGGCGAGCGUUGUCCGGAUUUAUUGGGCGUAAAGAGCGUGUAGGCGGCUUGGUAGGUCCGUUGUGAAAACUAGAGGCUCAACCUCUAGACGUCGAUGGAAACCAUCUGGCUAGAGUCCGGAAGAGGAGAGUGGAAUUCCUGGUGUAGCGGUGAAAUGCGCAGAUAUCAGGAAGAACACCCGUAGCGAAGGCGGCUCUCUGGGACGGUACUGACGCUGAGACGCGAAAGCGUGGGGAGCGAACAGG